AUUUCUAUAUCAAAAUCACCACAGUUUGUCAUCAUGCAUCACUGGCUGAAGGUCUCUCUUGUUAUUGCAACAACAGUUUUUGUGUGCAGAGGAAAAGAAGACACUGUUGACCAGUCGUCAACGUCUGAGACUGGACCAGAAGGAGGAACGGUGACACUCGGCUGUAGUUAUGACACAGCUGCCACUAAUGCCUACCUGUUCUGGUAUAAACAGAAACCUAAUGAUCAUCCUCAAUAUAUGCUGAAGAAAUAUUCAUUUGGAGGUGGUGAUGGAGAAAAGGAAUUUGAAACAAGAUUUCUGGCUGAACUCAACAAAACUACAAAGAUAGUUCCACUGAAAAUCAGGAACCUUCAAGUCUCAGACUCUGCUGUCUACUACUGCGCUCUGCAGCCCACAGUGACAGGAAACCCAACAACACUGUACAAAAACAUGCUCCACCAUGUGUAUACUAAAUGA